rnacentral:rRNA from 1 species
UACGUAGGGUGCAGGCGUUAAUCGGAAUUACUGGGCGUAAAGCGCGCGCAGGCGGUUUUCCAAGUCAGUGGUGAAAGCCCGGAGCUCAACUCCGGAAUUGCCAUUGAAACUGUAAAACUUGAGUACGAGAGAGGUGAGUGGAAUUCCCAGUGUAGAGGUGAAAUUCGUAGAUAUUGGGAAGAACACCGGUGGCGAAGGCGGCUCACUGGCUCGUAACUGACGCUCAGGCGCGAUAGCGUGGGGAUCAAACAGG